rnacentral:lncRNA from 10 species
GGCACACCCCGUAAGCUGCUUCACAGUGGAUCAUGAGUCCUAAAAAUAUAAGAGGCAUGGGGAGUAGGGUGUGAGAUUUGCAGACAAAGGUUGGUAUUCCAGAAUGUUGUGACCUCUCUGCAUUCAGCCACCCGAUGGCAGGGCUGGGGGAUCCUCCACCCUGGAGAUGCCAUGUAGGCAUUACCUCGUGGCCACAGAGCAAAUCCUGGAGCAGCUGUGAGCAGGGCAUUUGCUCCUUCUCUGGGCUGUGGAGAUACCUAAGCACACACACAAUCUUGGUGGCAGCAGAGGUGCUAUUGAGUAAAUAGAAAUGGCCAUGGAACUCUUAUUACAGCAUUCAUAGGGGUUAAAGAAGCUAAUAUGUUUGUCAAACAGGAGGGCUGAGUGGACGUGUCCUAUGGCCUCCCUUGGAAAUGGCUCUUUCUGCUUCAGAUAGUGGAAGGCUUCCAGACACACAGUCCCCACCCAUUCCUUCUCCUGGGGAAGUAGCCUUAACUUACACAGACAGCCCGAAAGAGUCUGGGGACUUGUAGCUCAGAACGAAGGAAAAUGACAUCCUCCAGCCUGGCUUAGGAACAUUGCUGUUCCCAACCCCGUACAGGAGACGCCUUUCUUCUUAUCUUCUUCUGGGGGAUUUUAGAGCCACUCAUCAUGAGUCACAGUGAAGAGCGUCCUGCCUUCCUUCACAGGACAGAAGGAGAGUUGGCAGCCCCAGGCUCACUCUAUCCCAUGGCCGUCCCUCCUGAGGCUUCACUUCUGCAAGGUAGGAGCCUGGAGAUGCUGCCCUAGCCAGUGAUGGUUAAUAUUGAGUGUCAAGUUGAUUGGAUUGAAGGAUGCAAAGUAUCGUUCCUGUGUGUGUCCUUGAGGGUGUUGCCAAAGGAAAUUAACAUUUGAGUCAGUGGACUGGGAGAAGUACAUCCACCCUCAAUCUGGGUGCACACCAUCUAAUCUGCUGCCAGUGCCGCUAGGGUAAAAGCAGCUGGAGGGACGUGGAAGGACUUGACUGGCUGAGUCUUCUGGCCUCCAUCUUUCUCCGUGCUGGAUGCUUCCUGCCCUCGAACAUCGGACUCCAAGUUCUUCAACUUUUGGACUCUUGGAUUCACACCAGAGGUUUGCCAGGGGAUCUCGGGCCUUCAGCCAUAGACUGAUGGCUGCACUGUCGGCUUCCCUACUUUUGAGGUUUUGGGACUCGGACUGGCUUCCUUGCUGCUCAGCUUGCAGACAGCCUAUUGUGGGACUUCACUCUGUGAUUGUGUGAGUCAAUUUCCUAAUAAACUCCCCUUUAUAUAUUCAUCUAUCCUAUUAAUCCUGUCCCUCUGGAGAACCCUGACUAAUGCAUCCACUAAUUUCAAAUAUCAGUGUAUCUCAUGAUAACUUCAAUAUACAGGAGUGUCUAUUUCUGAAAUUUUGAGUCUAUUUCAUCUAUUUGUAUAUUCUUAAGUAACACCACACUUCUUUAAUGUUUAAAGUUUCAUAAAUAUGAUAUCAGAUGGUGAAAGUCCAUCCCUUUGAUCACUUUUUUCAAACUUUCAUGUCUGUUAAUGAGCAGUUAUCUUCCACUUACAUUUCAGAAUUUAUUUGUUGAUUUGCAUAAUAAUAUCAUUGUCAUUUUGUUUGGGGUUACAUUAAAUUUUCAGAUAAUUUUGGAGAGAGGCAACAUUUUAAAAAUAGAAACUCCCAUCCAAAAAUAGUAAGUAACCCUCCAUUUAUAUUCAAGUCAAUUUAUUAAAAUGUUAGAUGUUUCUAUAAAGGUUUAUUAUAUUAUCAUUAAAUUUGUUUACUCCCAGCUACAAUAUUUUAUAGAUUUUUUUUAUUGCUGUUUGGAACAAAAUGUGUUGUACUUGGUUACUGCUGGUACACAGGGAAGUUUUUUACUUUUUCAUAUUGAUCUUAUAUCCAGCCACUCACUUGAAAUCUUAUAUCAAUAUUACUGGAUUGUUAAUUAUCUCAAUUGUUAAUAGAUUGAAUUAUUUAACAUAGUUAAUUAUAUUAUCUUCAAGUAGAGACAGUUUUGUCUGUUUCCAACUUUGUUUCCUCCCUUUUCUCCCUUGCUAAUUGGCUAAUACAUCUAGUAAAAUGUUGAAUGGUAGCAAGCAUUUUUAUAUUUCCUAACUUUAAUGACAUCACUUAGGUUUUACCAAUAUUUUGUAUAUUUGCUGUACUUUUUAUCAUAUUUUUUCUAUCCUAAGUUUAUUAUUUUAUCACAAUAUGGUGGUAGUUUUUUUUUAAUGCUUUCAGACACCUAUUAUGAUGAUAAAUUAAUGGUUUUACUACUUUGCUUUGCUAAUAUAUAUAGUAAAUUACAUUAAUAUAUCUUGUAAUGUAGAAAUAGCCAAAUUUAUACCUCCAGCCCUAAAUUUUCCCUUGGACUCUAAACAUUGUAUAACUAACUGCUUCUAUACAACUCAGAUGAACAAUACACUUCUUAUACAUAAUAUAGCCCAAAAGCAAACAUUUGAUUUUUUACCCAAACCCCUUUCUCCCUUAGUGAUUCCAAUCUUAGUCAAUGGCAACAUGACCUACUCCGCUGCUCAGGGAAAAUCACUGGAAGCAUCCUUGGCCCUCAUUCUCUGUAAUCGGUCAUAUUGAAUCCAUUAGUAAGCCUUGUUGUCACCACAUUCAAAAUUUAUCUGGAAUUGCAGCCUUUCAUCUUCCAUCCCUCUAGCCCAAAUCACCAGCGAUUCUUACCUGGUUGGCUUCAGUAAUGUCCAGCUGGUCUCUAUGUUUCCAUAUUUGUUCUGUUUAUUCCAUUCUCAAACCAGCAGCCACAGGGAUCCUCCUCCUGUCAGCUGCUGAAACAUUCACUCUCUUCCCACCACAUUUAAAAUAAAAUCUAAAAUUGCUUCCAGGGCCAAGAAGGCACAACACCAUCUAGGAGCUGACACUUCCUGACAUUAUCUCUUAUCACUUUUUUCCUAGCUCACUGACUUCAACUACGUUACUCACAUUAUGAUUCCUUGGUGACACCAAGCACAUUCUCAUUGUAGGGCCUUUGCAGUUGCCGUUACUCUGCAUGGAAGACUCCUUCCACAGAUACUCAACACAACUCUUCUCUUUACUUCACUUCUCUGCUGAAAAAUCAUUCUAUCAGAAAUAUCAUUCUAUCAGUCUUCCUUGACCCUGCAGUCCCAGCUGGCCCAUAGUCCUCAUUUUCUAUUUCUUUGUUCUGCUUUUGUUUUCAUCCCUGACUUUAUUUUAUGUAUUUUAAUCUUGUUCAUUGCUUGUGGCUCCCAUUAUAUUAAAAAUUCCAUAAGGGAAUUAUGUGUUUAAUUUACUCACUACUCUAUUCUCACCGACUAGAAAAAUUAAAAUGUAUCCAGACUUUGUGAAAUGCCCAGUGGGCAGGAAGCAAACCACCCCCAUUUAAGAAGCAUUGCAUUGAAUGCUUAUUUUAAAAAUAAAAGAACAAAUGAGUCAAAUCAGCAAUCUUAUCUUCUGAUGGAAAAGAACUAGAAAAGAAGAGUAAGUUAAACCCAAAGCAAGAAGGAAGAACAUAAUAAAAAUCAGAGUAGAGUGACGAAUAAGGAAACACAGAGAGAGAGAGAAGAUAGAAAAAAAACAAUAAAACCAAAAGCUAGUUCUUUAAAAAAUAAAACAACAAAAUGUAUAAACCUCUAGCUAAAGUGACCAAGAAAAAGAAGAUAUAAAUGACCAAAACUGGGAGUAAAAGCAAGAACAUCGCUAGAGACUCAAAAAUAAAGCUGAGUGGCUAUGUUAUUAUUAUUAGACAAAACAGACUUCAGAACAAGAAACAUUACCAGAGAUAAAGAGGGACAAGACAGUUCAUAAAUAUGUAUGUACACAAUAACAGACUUUCAAAAUACAUAAAGUGACACUGACAAAGCUGAAAGAGAAAAAGACAGAUCCAAAAUUAUAGUGGAAGAUUUUAACACUCCUACAUAGUACUUGAUAGAUCAAGUAGGCAGAAAAUCAGUAAGAACAUAGAAGAAAUGAACAACACUAUCAACUAACUUGACUUAGUUGACGUUUAUAGACCGAUCAACCCAAACAGCAGAAAGCACAUACUUUUCAUAUACUCAGAGAAUAAUAACUAAGAUACAUCAUAUUUUGAGCCAUAAAAGGAUUGCUAAUAAAUUUGAGAGAAUUGGCGUCAAACAGAGUCAGUUCUUUAACUUCAACAAGAUUAGAUAUAAAAAGCAGAAAAAAUAUCUGGAAAAUCAGCAAGUAUUUGGAAAGCUGAAUAAUGCUCUUCUAAAUAACUUAUGGGUCAAAGCAGAAGUCACAGGGAAAAAUUAGAAAGUAUUUUUAACAGAAUGAAAACAAAAUUACAAUAUAGUUGGCCCUCCAUAUCUGUGGGUUCUGCAUUCAUGAAUUUAACCGAACUUGGAUUGAAAAUAUUAACAAAUAAAAAUUGGGUUUGUACUGAAUAUUUACAGACUUUUUUUCUUGUUGUUAUUCCCAAACAGUAGAGAAAACAACCAUUUACAUAGCAUUUACAUUGUAUCAGGUAUUAUAAGUAAUCUAGAGAUUAUUUAAAGUAUACUGGAGGAUGUGCAUAUGUUAUAUUCAAAUACUAUGCAAUCUUACUUUAGGGAUUUGAGCAUCCCUAAGUUUUGGUAUCCACAGGAGGUCCUGGAACCAAAUCCCAUGGGCACUGAAGAAGAACUGUAUGUCGAAAUGUGUGGGAUAUGGCUAAAACUAGGGAUAUGGCUAAAACUCUGCAUAGAGAAAAAAUGUACAGGUUUAAAUGCUUGUAUUAGAAAAUAAUAAAGUUCCGAAAUAAAUUAUCUAAGGUCUCACCUUCAAAAUUUAGAAAAAGCAUAAGUUCUAGAGAUCCACUGUACAACAUCUUGUCUACAGUUAAUGACACCAUAUUGUACAUUUAAAAUUCGGCUGGAAAGAUUGAUCCUAUGUUACCUGUUCUUACUACAAUAAAAAAGAAAGGUAAAUUAAAAUCCAAGUAAGUAGAAAUGAAAAUUAAUAAAGACAAGACCAGUCAAAACUCAAUAAUAAACACACAAACAAUAAAGAAAAAAAAAAUAAAACUAAAGCUUUUUUUUUUGGAAAAAAAAACAGUAAAUUGUAUAAGGCUCUAGCUUUACUCAUUAAUAAAACAAAAGACAGAGAUCAACAAUAAUGUAAAUGAAAGAGGGGAAACCACACCAUACCCUACGAAUUUAUGAAAGAGAAAUUACUAAAACUGACUAAGGUAGAAAUGGAAAAUCUGAAUAGUCCUAUGUAUCAACUAAAUAUACUGAAUUCAUUAAUUAAAAACCUCCCACAAAGGAAACUCCAGGCCCAGAGGGCUUCGCUGGUAAAUGCUAUCAAACAUUUAAGAAGGAGAAUACCAGCUCUACACAAAAUGUUGCAGAAAUUAGAAAAGGAAGAAGCACUAAUCAAUUUAUUUUAUAAGGCCAACAUUGUGCUUACACCAAAACCAAAAAUAUAUAUAUUACAGGGAUUUAAAAAUUUUUUUAAAGCUAGACAUUAACUUUCUCAUGAUCACAGAUUUAAAAAUCCAUAGCAAAAUAUUAGUGAAUUGAAUUCAGUAAUAUGUUAAAAUUAGAAUGCAUCAUGACCAAUUGGGGUUUAUCCUGCUGGGAGGAUAAUUUGCAGGCAGGCCCUACUUCCCCCGUGAUGGGUGGACUGCUUUGUUGCACAACCUCCCUGUCUCUCUGGACCCCAGGCCUGCACCGGCCAGGCUGCCCUCCAGCCCUCCCAUCGAGUGAGAUCUGCUGCAGCUCCUCCCCACCUUAAGCAUGUCCAAAUCCUGACAACCAGAUUUUCACUCUGUCUUUUACACAACAGUGAAGUUUGAUCAAUGCUUCUUAAUCUGUGGAUAAACAGUCCUUAAAAGUUCAAGAGCAAUCUUGUUCAAAAAGCAGCAGCUCACAUUCCAUGAUGAAUUUAAUCAAGGUGUCCUUGUUCCCAUCCUGUACCAACCCGCCUAACUCAUAUCCAUUUUUAACUUUAUUUCUCUUUUUAACAACAUACUCAAUGCAGGGAAGUCAGAAAAUUUGGACAUCAAACAUCAAAAUCAGAAGAAUCACUCAAGAUCCCACCAAUCAGAGGUGACCAUUGAUCCUAUUUUCUUAUGCAAAUUUGUAAGUUAUUUUCUGACUUUGUUAUUCUGUUUGGAAAGGAUUUUUCUGACCCUCAGAAGGUAAACUAAUUUGUGUCUCUUAUCCUUUAAGCAAUUUCCUGAGAAUAAUUUCACCAUUUAAUAAAGCACACUGCAUGUGUAAUAUAAUAAAUACUUUUAUAGAUUUUGGUAUAUUUAUGAUCCUAUUAUUCUCUUUCAUUGAUCUAUUUUUUGUCAUUCAUUUUUAAACAAUAUGAUUUCAUAAUAUGUUCUAAUACAUUAUGUGCCCGAUUUCCAUAAAUAUUUUUUCCAAUUUUUUCUCAUUUUCAACUUUCAUUCAUUUCACGUUUAUUUUUCUAGAUAAAAGGUGUAAAACAUUUUUACAUUUGCCAAAAAUUUAUUUAGAAGAUUGAUUCAAAUUUCAUUAUAUUUAUAGAUUGACUUAAGGAAGAAACAGAUUUCCAAUUCUGUAUUCCCGUUUAUUAAAAUUCUGUUUUUAUUUUCUCAGUAAUAUUUUUCUUCAUUUCCUCAUAGAUACUCCAUAUUUAAAAAAUACUAUUCAACAUUUCUAUUUAAUAAUUGUGUUUGUUUUGAAAUAUAGUAUAAGGCAACUAAACAUGCUCAAGAAGACCCUUUGCUGGCCACAGUGCUCAGUCAUCUCCAGGCAGUGCAGGAAAACUCUUCUCUAUGGAAUUCCAGCACUCAGGAACCUUUUCCCACCUCCUGGGAUUCCACAGUCUCUCUUGUAUGUUGUACCAUCUUUUUGCUCUUUAGUACUGCAAAGUUGACCUCUAUUUCAUAAACUUCUGAGCAGGUAUAGCAAGAGCUAGAAGGAGACAUCUGUCCUUAUCAAAUGAUGAUGUAAAAAACUGCAGCUACUGGGGGGUAAUUUUUGUGUUCCUGACACAGCAGCAUAUUUUGCAUGAGUUUUCUUUGCAUUAGUCCUGAGUGCAAUAAACUAUGAUCACUGUCUUUUGUAGAGAAAAGAACUGAGGUUUAUGGGGUUGACGCCACUGGUAUAAGGCAGUCUAAGCAAAGAGCCCAUACGCACAAAACUACACAUUUUUGCCCCCUUCAGAGUAAAUAAUUUCAAGACUAAUGUGGAUUUUUCCUGCACCAUCCCCUUCCAGCAGGGUUGGGAGACAAAUCUACCAUAAUGGAUGUCCUCGUCCAAUACUUCUUCAAUACUUUUCCUUUCUGUACCUCUAAAGGCUCUGAUUUCUCUGUAAACAUGUAGAUGAGAAGCCUAUGUAACUAAAGACUAAGAUGACACAGAUGGUAACAUCUCCCUGGAGUCACAGAGGUCUCUAACCACCUUCUUUAUUACUAAUUCUUAGAUGACUUUCUAACGUAUUUUUUCUUAGGUUGCACCUACAUUGAUUGUAGGUUGCAAUGUAGGUUGCAAUGUAGGUUGCACCUACAUUGAUGCAGGACUCUCUGCAUAUAACCAUUCUGCUAUACUGCCUUUUGAUGAUGAGGUUUUUUUUCUCUCCCAGUGUUCAUGCCUUUAUUUCUUUUUCUUGCCUGAUAGCAUUGGCUGUAUCUCCCAAAUAAUAUCAAAUAAUAAUGCUGAUAGCUGUCAUUCUUUAUUACUCUUAGCGCUCUCUCUCUCUCUAUAUAUAUACACACACACAUAUAUAUAUAUUCAAUGUGUUAUAUGUGAUGGUCAUUAAUAGGUUAAGCAUUUUUUACAAGUUUCCAAAAUAUCUUUCUAACUUAAUUCUUUUAAUAGAAAUAAUUUUUAAAUUUUAUUAGAUGUCUUUUGGCAAUUGAGAAUUUUUUUUGCUCUGUUCUAUUAACAUACUGAAAUACAUUAAUAGAUUACCUAAUAUUGAAUCACCUUUGUUCUUUUAAGAAGAAGUUUCCUUGGCCAUGGUAGCAUUUUGUAUUAUAAGACUGAUUUGUUGCUCAUAUUCUAACACUUGAGAAUUAAAAUCUAUACUCCUAAGUAAGAG